UGGGGAAUUUUCCGCAAUGGGCGAAAGCCUGACGGAGCAAUGCCGCGUGGAGGUGGAAGGCCUACGGGUCGUCAACUUCUUUUCUCGGAGAAGAAACAAUGACGGUAUCUGAGGAAUAAGCAUCGGCAAACUCUGUGCCAG
rnacentral:rRNA from 1 species